rnacentral:tRNA from 1 species
CUAAGAGAAAGGGUAGUAUAGAAGGUUUUUUAACCUUCUAUAAAAAUAUACAAUGUAUAUUAGUCUUGAAGUACACAAGACAAAUUGAUACUUCCUUUUCGUUCUUUCCUGAAACUCUUUUUUUAUAGGGCCUGUAGCUCAGUCGGUUAGAGCACUUCUCUGAUAAGGAAGGGGUCAUUAGUUCAACUCUAAUCAGGCCCAUACCGAUUGAAGAAUCGGCUCAAUAACUUAGUUCUUUUAAAGAACUGAGCGAACAGAUAUUUGACAUAACUAGGGAAGGGAAUGAAGACGCUGGAAUGUUUGAAACAUAACAGUGUAAAAGAAAACUAAAAAUACAAAACUUCUUUUUUAAGCGAAAAGAGUAAAGAAAGAAGGGACAAUAAUAU